AAAAAAAAAAUGUAAAGCGUUAUGUGGAUCGAACAUUAGUAGAGAAGCGUGUGAGCCAGCUGCCAAGAAAAGCCGCUAUUGUUUCAUAAGUACCCGUACCGUAAACCGACACAGGUGGAUGAGGAGAGAAUCCUAAGGCCGGCGGGAGAAGUGUUGUUAAGGAACUCGGCAAAAUGACUCCGUAACUUCGGGAGAAGGAGUGCCACAGAGAUGUGGCCGCAGAGAAAUGGCCCAAGCAACUGUUUAGCAAAAACACAGGUCUAUGCAAAACCGAAAGGUGAGGUAUAUGGGCUGACGCCUGCCCGGUGCUGGAAGGUUAAGAGGAGAGGUUAGAGCAAUCGAAGCUUUGAAUUUAAGCCCCAGUAAACGGCGGCCGUAACUAUAACGGUCCUAAGGUAGCGAAAUUCCUUGUCGGGUAAGUUCCGACCCGCACGAAAGGCGUAAUGAUUUGGGCACUGUCUCAACAACACACCCGGUGAAAUUGAAAUACCAGUGAAGAUGCUGGUUACCUGCGCCAGGACGGAAAGACCCCAUGGAGCUUUACUCCAGUUUGAUACUGGGAUUCGGUACUGUCUGUACAGGAUAGGUGGGAGGCUAGGAAAUGGUGACACCAGUUGCCAUGGAGCCAACCUUGGGAUACCACCCUUACAGUACUGGGUUUCUAACCUGCAGCCGUAACCCGGCUGGGGGACAAUGUCUGACGGGGAGUUUGACUGGGGCGGUCGCCUCCGAAAGAGUAUCGGAGGCGCUCAAAGGUUCCCUCAGAACGGUUGGAAACCGUUCGAAGAGUGCAAAGGCAGAAGGGAGCUUGACUGCGACACCGACGGGUGGAGCAGAUACGAAAGUAGGACUUAGUGAUCCGGUGGUAUAAAGUGAGAUUGCCAUCGCUCAACGGAUAAAAGCUACCCUGGGAUAACAGGCUUAUCACUCCCAAGAGUUCACAUCGACGGAGUGGUUUGGCACCUCGAUGUCGGCUCAUCGCAUCCUGGAGCUGUAGCAGGUUCCAAGGGUUGGGCUGUUCGCCCAUUAAAGCGGUACGCGAGCUGGGUUCAGAACGUCGUGAGACAGUUCGGUCCCUAUCCGGCGUGGGCGUAGGAUAUUUGAGAGGAGCUGUCCUUAGUACGAGAGGACCGGGAUGGACAAACCUCUGGUGUAUCUGUUGUUUUACCAAAGGCAUGGCAGAGUAGCCAAGUUUGGCAGGGAUAAACGCUGAAGGCAUCUAAGCGUGAAGCCCCCCUCAAGAUAAGAUAUCCCAUCUUCGGAGUAAGACCCCUUGAAGACUACAAGGUUGAUAGGCUUCAGGUGUAAGUGUGGUAACGCACUCAGCUGAGAAGUACUAAUAGGUCGAGGACUUAUU
rnacentral:rRNA from 1 species